rnacentral:lncRNA from 1 species
UCGCUGGAAACUUUCUCCAGGGCGGCAAUGAAAUGGUAUUCCUCCUCCUGAUAUCCUUUUGGCAGCAGUUUUGUUGUGGAGUGGUCCAGAGAUCAAUGGCAACAAACAUUCCCAGGAACAACCGGCCAGCGUUACAUGGAUCAUUCUCCAUCUGCUUGGAAAAGUUGGCCGUGGCGGGGUACAAUAUCUUCAACUGAUAGCUUUCCGGGACCUGUUGAAAUUAAAAUCGAUAAUUAAACAAAUUUUAUUUAUACUUUUAAACUUUUAAAAAUUGGAUGCUAUAGUAAAUGAAACAUAAUUUCUUUAUAGUUAUAAUCUCUUUUACCUAUUUGAAUCAAAAUUGAUGAAUUGGACUUUACAAUUCAAAAGUAACCAAAGGCCGAACAUAUGACUAUUGGUGGCGGAACAAUUGCCCCUUAUAAGAAACUUGUAAAUAACUAGAAGAAACUUGUGUUGCCCUUCCCUUAUAUAUCAAUAAGUCUACUAAAACAUAAAAUUUGUUGUAAAAUGUGAUUACCUAUUUGGGAGGCAAC